CGAGCCGAGCGGACGGCCGCGUUAGGACCCCGGUCCUGCCGAGGAACGUCCGGACUCCAUAGGGCAGGGUGGUGGCUAACGGCCACCCGGGGUGACCCGCGGGACAGUGCCACAGAAAGUAAACCGCCGGGGCCGAAAGGCACCCGGUAAGGGUGAAACGGUGGUGUAAGAGACCACCAGUGCCCAGGGUGACCUGGGCAGCUAGGUAAACCCCACCCGGAGCAAGGUCAAGAAGGGGCCACCGUCAGGCGGCCCUGCGCGGACGUUCGAGGGCUGCCCGCCCGAGUCCGCGGGUAGACCGCAAGAGGCCGGCGGCAACGCCGGUCCUAGAUGGAUGGCCGUCAGCCGGCCGGCCGCGAGGCCGACCGGUCAACAAAAUCCGGCGUACAGCUUGACUCGUUCU
rnacentral:RNase_P_RNA from 1 species